UCUUCACUCUUCUGCUCCAUCGCGCGCUCUCUACCGCCCUCCCGUCUUCUCUGUGUUUCUCACUGAUGCCACAGUGUAGUAAAGCGGAUAGGCAAGCCAAACAAACAGCGGAAGAUUUUCAGAGCAGACACCGUCAGAGUUUAGAGCUCACCGUCUCAACUGGAUUGCAACUGAAGCUUAAAUACUGCAGCAUCAGGACCACAGACCUGGUGCGGCGAUCACACCUGAUCCAUUGCUGACUCCUUCCUGAGGACGAGGAGAACAAAGGAGAAAGACUCUUCCAAUCCCUCCUCAUCUUAUAGGAGAUAAACUGUAAGAGCAGAUUCGAAAGCGAGGACUCCGGCAGCUGUCUUUGAAGUCAAACUCAGUCUCAAAAAUGUCUCAGGCAGUAACACCGCAAUGCCAGAUAUGAGCAAAUAUGGGGACUCUCUUAGAAACCAUGACAGCUUUGACAGCCCAAAAGGAGAUCUGUUUUUGCAUGUGUGCAAAAUAUUUUCUGUA